rfam:Triticum aestivum genome assembly, contig: Triticum_aestivum_CS42_TGACv1_scaffold_031952_1BL
AUAGUACUCCCUCCGAUCCAUAUUACCUGUCUUUGAUUGCCUAGAUACAAAUGUAUCUAGACAUGUUUUUGUAUUAAAUACAUCCGUAUUUAGACAAAUCUAAGACAAAUAAUAUGGAUCGGAGGGAGUAGUAU